GAAGUCCCCUAGCUCUUCUACCUCAGUAUAUUAAAAGUUUCUGAGCUCCCCUGUACUGGUGGUCCAGCCAGGGUAGGCGGGAGUGGACGUGUGCAGAGGGAGUAAUACACCAAAGCCUCUGUCCAAAGGGAACUGUUGCAUCAAGGCGGAUCUGUGCGCCUUAGCGCCGGUAAAGGCCUGAGUCGCUCAGCUUUUGGGGGAGGGAGGUAUGUCUCUAUAACCGUGGGAUCGAUGUCUCCACACGGAGACGCCUGUCUACCCUGAAGGGGUGCAGAAUGGAGCCUCGCUAUCCUGAAGAGAGGAGGACACUCGAUGCUUCUCCACACAAGUGAGAGUGGAGGACGCCUCUAGUUUCCACCUCAAAUACACGAGCCUUAACGCGCGGCUGGCUGGGAGAGUGCUCACAACGAGAAAAGAGGAGAGUCGUCUCUUACCUCCACUUCCGGCGGGGAUCAAAGAGGAGAGAAUGGCACUACGAUGCGGUUGGUUGGCAGGCUGAGCUAACGCGGAUAGGCUCCGACUUCCGGAUCCCAGCCUUACGGCGCCGGUCCGCCCGCCUUGCUUCGGAUUGACGGCUCGCGCCCGCCCAUCCCUACUCCGCAGGCGCGCUGGUCCCGCCUCCCAGUUUCCCUGUGCGGUGAGAAAAAAAGCCGAGAAGGGGUAGGCGGGGUCCGAGUGGCCGGGUCGAAUAGUGUGGCCAUAUAACUUACUUGUAAGCCAAGAGCUUGUCCGGUGACCUCUGCCUGGGUCCAAAUAUGCGUGUUCCCGAAUUUUAGUAACCAAGCAAUCACCAUGACCGCAUCAUACAAGGGUGGGGGUCAGUCCCUUUGUCUACAAAGGAAGAUGGCGACGGGCUGGGUGUGAGAAAAUGGCCGCCUAGGUCACAUGUUUUGCCGAGUGCUCCCCACCUAAAAGUGACUUGGUUAGCCGUUCCCAACUUCUUCCUGGCUUGUAGGGCCCCAGACAAACCCUGAGGCAGCCGCUCCCAGCGCUUUCUGCCGAAGGCCAAAUGCAUUGUCAGGCCCAGGAGCUGGACAACUGGAAGCCUCUCCCACCCGUUUGCCCUCUUCUCCUCCUCCUCUCUCCUUAUCUUUGGCCCCAGAGCGGCAAAUGAAGAAGGGAAUGAAUGUAUAUCUCUGAAGUGGGUACAAAUAAGGAUUUCUUUAGAAACUAUCUUGAGAAGCUCCUGACCUGGCUGGAGAAUGAGGUGUCCCCUUAAAAAUAGUAAAUAUUAGUCUGACAAUGA